AGAGUUUGAUCAUGGCUCAGAACGAACGCUGGCGGCAGGCUUAACACAUGCAAGUCGAACGCGUGUAGCAAUACACGAGUGGCGCACGGGUGAGUAACGCGUGGAUAUCUGCCUUUUGGUUCGGAAUAACCCCGGGAAACUGGGGCUAAUACCGGAUGGUUCCUUCGGGAUAAAGAUUUAUCGCCAAAAGAUGAGUCCGCGUACGAUUAGCUAGUUGGUGAGGUAAUGGCUCACCAAGGCGACGAUCGUUAGCUGGUCUGAGAGGACGAUCAGCCACACUGGGACUGAGACGCGGCCCAGACUCCUACGGGAGGCAGCAGUGGGGAAUAUUGGACAAUGGGGGCAACCCUGAUCCAGCCAUGCCGCGUGAGUGAUGAAGGCCUUCGGGUUGUAAAGCUCUUUUGGCGGGGACGAUGAUGACGGUACCCGCAGAAUAAGCCCCGGCUAACUUCGUGCCAGCAGCCGCGGUAAGACGAAGGGGGCUAGCGUUGUUCGGAAUUACUGGGCGUAAAGCGAGUGUAGGUGGUUGUCCAAGUUGGAUGUGAAAGCCUUGAGCUCAACUCAAGAAAUGCAUUCAGGACUGGGCGGCUAGAGGACCGGAGAGGAUAGUGGAAUUCCCAGUGUAGUGGUGAAAUACGUAGAGAUUGGGAAGAACACCAGUGGCGAAGGCGGCUAUCUGGACGGUUUCUGACACUAAGACUCGAAAGCGUGGGGAGCAAACAGGAUUAGAUACCCUAGUAGUCC
rnacentral:rRNA from 1 species